UUCCGGUUGAUCCCGCCAGAGGUCAUUGCUAUCGGAGUUCGAUUUAGCCAUGCUAGUUGUGCGAGUUCAUACUCGCGGCAGAUAGCUCAGUAACACGUGGCCAAGCUACCCUGUGGAGAGGAAUAAUCUCGGGAAACUGAGGCUAACUCCUCAUAAGACUCUUCUUCUGGAAGGAGUGGAGUUGGAAACGCUACGGCGCCACAGGAUGCGGCUGCGGUCGAUUAGGUAGACGGUGGGGUAACGGCCCACCGUGCCUAUAAUCGGUACGGGUUGUGAGAGCAAGAGCCCGGAGACGGAAUCUGAGACAAGAUUCCGGGCCCUACGGGGCGCAGCAGGCGCGAAACCUUUACACUGCACGACAGUGCGAUAAGGGAACUCCGAGUGCGAGGGCAUAGAGCCCUCGCUUUUGUGAACCGUAAGGUGGUUCACGAAUAAGGGCUGGGCAAGACCGGUGCCAGCCGCCGCGGUAAUACCGGCAGCCCAAGUGAUGACCGAUAUUAUUGGGCCUAAAGCGUCCGUAGCUGGCCGCGCAAGUCCGUUGGGAAAUCUGCUCGCUUAACGAGCAGGCGUCCAGCGGAAACUGUGUGGCUUGGGACCGGAAGACCUGAGGGGUACGUCCGGGGUAGGAGUGAAAUCCUGUAAUCCUGGACGGACCACCGGUGGCGAAAGCGCCUCAGGAGGACGGAUCCGACAGUGAGGGACGAAAGCUAGGGUCUCGAACCGGAUUAGAUACCCGGGUAGUCCUAGCUGUAAACGAUGCCCGCUAGGUGUGGCGCAGGCUACGAGCCUGCGCUGUGCCGUAGGGAAGCCGAGAAGCGGGCCGCCUGGGAAGUACGUCUGCAAGGAUGAAACUUAAAGGAAUUGGCGGGGGGGCACUACAACCGGAGGAGCCUGCGGUUUAAUUGGACUCAACGCCGGG
rnacentral:rRNA from 1 species